AGAUUCCCUCCUCAAGGAUAACCACCCUAAUCUUUAUCAUCUGGUCCCACAUCGUUCUAUCCUGGUGGCCGACUGUAAUACUUCAACAGGGGAAGAUCAGUCUUGGAACAUCUUAUGUAGAAGAAACCUCAACGACUGGGAGGUUGAGGAGUUCGUGUCCCUGCAAUGCCGUUUGUCUUGUUAUAAGGUAGAUAAAUCUUGCGAGGAUUCCCUAGUCUGGAGGUGAGACCAGGCAGCUCCUUUCUCAGUAAAAUCUCUACACGAUUUUAUCGCCAUCGAUUCGAAAGCUUUGUUUAAGGACACGAUUCAGAAAAUAUGCAAAAUCAAAGUCCCUCCUAAGAUCUCAGCGUUCAGCUGGCUGGUAGUUAAAGUGAAAGUGCUGACAGUGGAUAAUUUGAGAAAAAGGGGUAUGGUGCUUCCAAACAUAUGCCUUUGUUGUAUGAAGUCUGAAGAAUCAGUGAAUCACCUAUUUCUCCACUGCCCUUACACUUCUCAAAUGUGGUAUGCCGUUCUUAGAUCUUUCAACAUCUCCUGGUGUGGCCCUGCUUCAAUGGAAGAUUUUUUCACAGCUUGGAUUGGCUCUAAUUUGGGUUCCCAAACAAACAAGAUCUGGAAGCUUUGUCUGAUGGCGGUUUGGUGGUCUGUCUGGGAAGAAAGAAACGGGAGAUGUUUCAACAAUAUUUCAAAUUCAGUGGAUCUUGUUCUCCAGAAAACGCAGCAGUACAUAGCUGAAUGGGCCUACAAUUUCCUAAAUAUUAAGGAAUGUAAUCUGUCUUUUGUUGGAGGCUCAUCUUCUCGCUAACUCAGCGGGAUCUUCCUCCCUUUUGAGCGGAAAUUAGUUCAAUGCUGAUAUGAUACAGUCCGAAGGGCAAGAAGGAAUAGGGGUAUCAGCUGCAGCAGAAGCAUGGGAACUGUAGGAGCACAUCAUUCAAGCUAUGGCUGAAGUCCUGCAAUUUGCUGAAAUAGUAGCCAAGGUGUGAUAUAUCAGGUCAGUUCCUAUAGCUUCCCCAGUGUUCGGUUGCAUUUCGAGAGGUUUAUCAAGGACCUUAAGGUUUGCAUAGUUGCAUUUGAGUUUGUUUGUGGAAGGGAUUAUCCAUGUGUUCUUCUAAAGUAACUAUUGUUUUUUUUUUCCCUAUCCGUUCAUAGCAAGCAGACUUGGAAAAGGCUCAGCUGGGUUUGGGGCAUAGUUACAGUCGAGCAAAGGUCAAGUUCAAUGUUAACCGAGUCAACUAUAUGGUUAUUCAGGCCAUUUUCCUUCUUGAUACUCUUGACCAAGAUAUUAAUUCCUUCUCCUUGAGAGUCAGAGAAUGGUUCUCUUGGCACUUCCCUGAACUAGCGAAGAUUGUCAAUGAUAACUAUCUCUAUGCCAAAGUUGCUAAAUCUGUGGAGAACAAGUCAGAAUUAACUGAGGACAAGCUUCCAGGGUUAGAAGACAUUCUUGGUGAAGUUGUUGGUGCCCGUUUGAUUUCCCAUGCUGUCAGUCUUACAAAUCUAGCUAAGUGCCCUGCUUCUACACUUCAGACCCUUGGUGCCGAAAAAGCACUUUUCAGGUCAAUGAACAAUGAAGCUUGGAAUGCCAAUCAAUAUUGCAUACAGAACAACAUUGGGCACUUGGGCAUCAAUGGUUGAAGCUAUGGUCAACACAAGUAGAACAGAAGUUUUCUUUCGAACUUUCGAGCCUUCUCAUUGGGUGUACUCUCCUCAUCUCAACUGACUAACUCUAAAGUGUAUCCUGGACAACAACUCCAUCUAACCUGGUCUGUAACCAAAAUCUAAUUGGUUUUUGGCUGCAAGACUGGACAGAUGAUCUGACUUUGUACAUGCCUAUUUUUGUGCAGCAGUUUUUUCUGAAAGUAGCUUAUUCUCAGAAAUCAUCUCAUUUUUCCUUAAGGAAGCUUUUUAUAGGCAUUCUUUUGGUCCUUUUCUCUAAUCUGUUGGAGAACCAUCGUAAGAAGAGUCAAUGCUCAGUCACACAUAACCUGCAAUCUAAUUGCAAGUGCUAAAACGACAACUAUAUAAAUAGUGGGUCUUAGGAAGUUCUUUAUGACUUUUUUAAUAGCAGUAAGCACUUGCCUUUAAACAAGAUUUUUUUUUUGGAGCGUUAAGCAUCAGCCAACAACAAUCCAGUAUGCAUAAUUUGAAUUAAAUUUGUUACAUAUGCAUGAAUCUAACACCGUCUAGUUAUUGGAUUGAUCAGUUUAGGGAUGUGGGCCCCCAUAUCCAAUAAAAAGUCAAUCAUAGGGCAAGCUUUGGCCCCAUAUCUCAAUAUCCUGAUGUCAUGGAUUGGAUGGUGUUAGAUUCACAUAUAUCUUAUAACAAUAUUUCAUACCAAGUUGUCCUAAGUUGAACAUAAAGGAAAAUGAAGAAGAAGAUAUUUUAAGAAAUUUAUAGAACUUAAAACCGUUUGGGGAAGGGGUUCUAUCUAGUAUAUUUGAUUGUUGUUUUUAAUAGCCAUUUGUUGAUGUCUAUCUUAUGAUGUAAAAAACCAUUUGUUUCAUGUUCAAUAUCCAUGAAAUGUCCUAGUUCAACAUUUUUCUAGGACAUUUGAGAAGAUUUGGCUUUAUUUUCUCCUGUAUACACAUACUUCCUAUUUUUCUUGUAAGACAAUGUCAAAAUUUUCUAGUUAAAUUCUUGAUCCGUAAAAUCUCUCCACUAUGGACCCUAUUGUUGAAUAUUAUAUCCAACCUUUUUUGUUGAAUUCUUGUUGACCAAAAUUUGCAUUCAUGUUCAAAUGGGAAGUCCUAGCAUAGAUCAUGCUCGCAAUCAUGAAGAGUAUUUCAGAGGGUUGGUGAAUGCCAAAACAUCAUCUCAGCAGGGAUCAUGUUUUGGUUCACAAAGUCAACAAGGUUAGUAGCUAUCGAAUUUUUCAAAGCAGAAGAUAGCAGUAAACACUAAAUAGUUAUGACGGCUAUUAACCCAUAUGUAAUCUUUCAUCACUUGGUGCAUCCCACUAUGGAUUCGAGAAGUAGAAAAUUAUCAUUGAUGGGAUGAUCUUAAAGCCCAAUCAAUGACCUAAAAAUGGUAGUGGCAAUGUUGGCAAUGGAUAUGUCCCUCCAUAAUGACUAUUCUUACUCACCUUUCUCACUUUGACUAUUGUAAUGGAUAGGUGCUAAAAGGGUGAAGCUACACCAUAAACUUGCUGAACUCUUGGAUGAGGAACUGCAUAGGCGGGAACUUCAGUAAUUCUUGCUGGUGAGUUAUUUGGUAAAUGGAUUCGUGAGACGGCAACUGACCAUGAGAUAGUCUAUCGUCCGAUGGUUAUUGUUAGAAAUACAAUACUAGAGCAAGAUGAAAAUGAAAAGGGUAUUAUCAAUUUA